AUCAGAGACCCAUGUACAUUGGCGAGGCUGAGUAGGACACUCUAGUGGAGUACUGGGAAACAGAACCAGAAAAGAAGAAGAGAAAGAAUGCUGGAAACCACUUAUCUAAUCAUGAUGGCAUAGGGGUUCACAAGCAUUGUGUAUGUCCUCGACGUUUUUUGCAGAUUGAGCAUGAGAUGAUGAUUGAUUCUGGUUUGGAUGAAGCACCAGCCUUCACUGAUCUUGUGCGGAGGACACACUGACGCAAAGAUGUAAUUUUCACGGAAGUGCUGAUCUCUGUUUUGGAGAAUAACUUCAAGCGACUCAACACCAAUGUUUAUGGUUAUAGACGAGCUGGUUGCAUCACGACAAGCUCUUAUUCUGUUAAUGUAGUCUCUUGGAGUUAGACAACCCUCUGUUGCUGCUACUCCUGCUACAACUUCUGCUUCUGCUCUGAUGCAGAUUCUACAACUGCUGCACCUACUCCAGGUUCAAACCAAGACAACUUAGAUGCCUGAUGUGCAUCAUUAGAUAUUUAAAUUAUAAGCUAUGAUGUUUAUAGCUUUUAUGUUAAACUUUCGAACAGUUAGACUUUUAUUUUGUAAGUCUUUUUGGUAAUAUGUAAGACAAGAAGAACAAUUAUUUAGUAAGCUCUUUUGGUAAUAUGUAAGAUAAGAUUACUUAUGAUUAUGUUAAAA